GACAGAGGGGGCAAGCGUUGCUCGGAAUUACUGGGCGUAAAGGGCGCGUAGGCGGCCGUCCCAAGCGUGCGGUGAAAGUCAGGGGCUCAACCCCUGAUCGGCCGUGCGGACUGGGGGGCUCGAGCACUGUAGAGGCAGGCGGAAUUCCGGGUGUAGCGGUGGAAUGCGUAGAGAUCCGGAAGAACACCGGUGGCGAAGGCGGCCUGCUGGGCAGUGGCUGACGCUGAGGCGCGACAGCGUGGGGAGCAAACAGG
rnacentral:rRNA from 1 species